rnacentral:piRNA from 1 species
UUAUAGAAUAUUUUCAGAGUCCUGUGGCAC